AUGACUGAGAUGAGUUUAGUCACUGAACUGCAAUUAAAAGUGAGAAGGCAAUCAGCAUGUAUGCAGAGGCUGGGGUUGUGCAGAGGAAGGAUGCUCGUUCCCUCUGAUCUGCGGUCCUCUCUUUGUGUCAGAGCAAAGCAUGGGAAUCGCACCACGCGCGACGCCCGCAUGGCAGCACACACCGAGCUCGGGAGUCGUCACACAGACAGAUGUGCCACAGCCCUUUGCACCACCUCUCUCAGCUUUCCGCUUCGGAGUCGCAGCCUACAAGGAAGGAAUCAGCAGAGGGAGGAAUGGGGAGGAAGAUGCAGGAGUGCCGUGCCCCUCUGCUGCACUGUGGGCUGCCCGUGGGCACACGGCCGCGCUGCACACGGGACACGGCCCACAGCUGCACACGCGUGGCACAGCCCCGCACACGCGUGCACCCCCGGCCCUGAGACAGAAGGCACUGAAAAAGGAAUUGAGAUUUGCAGAUCUGAUAAUGAGCCAGUUAAUGACAUAAAUGAUACCUCAAGAACCUCACUAAACCAUCCAGGUCCUACAAUUUAAUCUGUAAUAAAUACUCCUGCAUCAUUGCGAGAUGGCUGCUC
rnacentral:lncRNA from 1 species